GAUGAACGCUGGCGGCGUGCCUAAUACAUGCAAGUCGAGCGAACAGACGAGGAGCUUGCUCCUCUGACGUUAGCGGCGGACGGGUGAGUAACACGUGGAUAACCUACCUAUAAGACUGGGAUAACUUCGGGACACCGGAGCUAAUACCGGAUAAUAUAUUGAACCGCAUGGUUCAAUAGUGAAAGACGGUUUUGCUGUCACUUAUAGAUGGAUCUGCGCCGCAUUAGCUAGUUGGUAAGGUAACGGCUUACCAAGGCGACGAUGCGUAGCCGACCUGAGAGGGUGAUCGGCCACACGGGAACUGAGACACGGUCCAGACUCCUACGGGAGGCAGCAGUAGGGAAUCUUCCGCAAUGGGCGAAAGCCUGACGGAGCAACGCCGCGUGAGUGAUGAAGGUCUUCGGAUCGUAAAACUCUGUUAUGAGGGAAGAACAAAUGUGUAAGUAACUAUGCACGUCUUGACGAUACCUAAUCAGAAAGCCACGGCUAACUACGUG
rnacentral:rRNA from 1 species